UUAGCUUGCUAAGUUUGAUGGCGACCGGCGCACGGGUGAGUAACACGUAUCCAACCUGCCGAUGACUCGGGGAUAGCCUUUCGAAAGAAAGAUUAAUACCCGAUGGCAUAGUUCUUCCGCAUGGUGGAACUAUUAAAGAAUUUCGGUCAUCGAUGGGGAUGCGUUCCAUUAGGUUGUUGGCGGGGUAACGGCCCACCAAGCCUUCGAUGGAUAGGGGUUCUGAGAGGAAGGUCCCCCACAUUGGAACUGAGACACGGUCCAAACUCCUACGGGAGGCAGCAGUGAGGAAUAUUGGUCAAUGGACGAGAGUCUGAACCAGCCAAGUAGCGUGAAGGAUGACUGCCCUAUGGGUUGUAAACUUCUUUUAUACGGGAAUAAAGUGAGGCACGUGUGCCUUUUUGUAUGUACCGUAUGAAUAAGGAUCGGCUAACUCCGUGCCAGCAGCCGCGGUAAUACGGAGGAUCCGAGCGUUAUCCGGAUUUAUUGGGUUUAAAGGGAGCGUAGGCGGACGCUUAAGUCAGUUGUGAAAGUUUGCGGCUCAACCGUAAAAUUGCAGUUGAUACUGGGUGUCUUGAGUACAGUAGAGGCAGGCGGAAUUCGUGGUGUAGCGGUGAAAUGCUUAGAUAUCACGAAGAACUCCGAUUG
rnacentral:rRNA from 1 species